ACAAGUAAAAAAAAAACAAGGAAAUCUUUUUGGAUUUUCUUUUUAGUUCUACUACUCCCUCUGUUCCGUAUUAUUUUGUCGUUGGGCAUUCACAGUUCAACUUCUGUCACGUUCAUUCUCUUUUUGACUUUCCAACUUUAUCCCUCCUUCGCCGCUGUCGCCGCAGCUCCCACUCACUCGCUCGCUGUCUCCCUCUCCCUUUCCUCGUCGCCGCCCUCUCCCUCUCUUCUCUGUCGCCGCAACUCUCCGCCGCAGCUACGCCGGCCGCAUCUCCUUCGCCCCACCCCGUACGCCCUCCUGCACGACCUCGCCGCGCUCGAGCUCGCGGCCCUAUCCGCCUGCGCUGCCGCCCUCUCCGCCCGCGCCGCCGCCUCCCUGGGGGGCGCAGCCGGCCUGCCGCAAGUACACCUACGCCGCUGCCUCCCCGGGGGCCACAAGGUGAAGUGGACGGCCGAGGAGAAGGCUCGCGGCGAGGGUCGGGCGCUCAAGUGCGAGGCAGAGCUCGCCUCCCCCAACGACGGCGGCUUCGACCUGGGAGGCCUAGUCCGAGCCGGCGCCGCCGGCAAGGCCAAGACCAAGUGAGGCGCCGAGGAAGCCAGCGAGGAUGACAAGAAGAAGCCGGCGAGGAAGUGCAUCCAGAUCGAGGAGAUCCCGCCGGCUGUGACGUCCAGAUCAAGAUUCUCUGCGCUGUCCGGGAUGAGAAGAGGAGUAGCAAGAAUCAAGCCCAAUACAGAGAGGAGAGGAGCAGCAGAAGUGGACAGCGCAGCAGCUGACCUCGAGCUCUUGAUUGGAGUGGGGGGAGGCGGCCGGCGAGGGGUCUGUGGCCAGCAGGGAAGGAUCUGAAGCCGCGGCGGAGCAGGCAGCCGGCGAGGGAGCUGCGGACCUCGGCGGGGAAGGGCGGCCGGCGAGGGAGCUGCGGACCGCCGCGGGGAAGGGCGGCUAGCGUGGGAGCUUCGGACCGUGGCGGGGAAGGACGCCAGAGACGCGAACGGCGGAGGAGCCCGGCGGAAGGGAGGAGUGACGGCGGAGAAGCCUGGCAGAGGGGAGGAGCGACGUAGGAAGACGCCUCCUGAUCGAUUUCAAAUCGGGGGUACUUCCAUAAUUUCACAUCAUUUCACCUGGUCGGAACAGAACCUCCAGCGACAAAUAAUACGGAACAGAGGGAGUACUAAGCAUGCAUGGAAAGUAAAUUACUACAACU